rnacentral:rRNA from 1 species
AGAGCGCAGGGCGAAUGCCUUGGCACUGGGAGCCGAAGAAAGACGCGAUAAGCUGCGAUAAGCCACGGGGAGCCGCAAAUAGGCGUUGAGCCGUGGAUUUCUGAAUGGAGAAAUCCGGCCGGAGUAAAGUCCGGUCAUCAUACGCUGAAUCCAUAGGCGUAUGAGGGGAACCGCCUGAACUGAAACAUCUAAGUAGGGCGAGGAAAAGAAAUCAACCGAGAUUCCGUAAGUAGUGGCGAGCGAACGCGGAAGAGGCCAAACCGAGGAUAGCAAUAUCUUCGGGGUUGCGGACUGCAUUUAGUAUUGCCGAAGUCUAGGAGAACCCCAUGGGAAGGGGGACCGAAGAGGGUGAGAGUCCCGUAUCCGAAAGGCGGAAGCAGCGAGCAGUAUCCAGAGUACCGCGGGACACGAGGAAUCCCGUGGGAAGCCGGGGGGACCACCCUCCAAGCCUAAACACUACCCAGUGACCGAUAGCGCAUAGUACUGUGAAGGAAAGGUGAAAAGGACCCCGGAAGGGGAGUGAAAUAGAACCUGAAACCCUGUGCUUACAAGCACCGAGAGCCCGUCAACGGGUAAUCGGGUACUUUUUGUAGAACGGUCCGGCGAGUAUAUUUAACUGGCAAGGUUAAGGGCCUCAGGUCUGAAGCCGAAGCGAGAGCGAGUCUGAAUAGGGCGUAUAGUCAGUUGGAUAUGACCCGAAACCGGGUGACCUAUCCAUGAUCAGGUUGAAGUGGGCGUAAAAGCCCAUGGAGGACCGAACCGACCUCCGUUGAAAUGGCGGCGGAUGAAUUGUGGAUAGCGGAGAAAUUCCAAUCGAACCCGGAUAUAGCUGGUUCUCCCCGAAAUAGCUUUAGGGCUAGCGUUGUAUUAGAUUACCGGAGGUAAAGCACUGAAUGGUUUAGGGGCUGAUAAAGUUACCGACGCCUAUCAAACUAAGAAUGCCGGCUAAUUGAUGUACAGCAGUCAGACAGUGUGAGAUAAGUUUCAUUGUCAAAAGGGAAACAGCCCAGACCCACAGCUAAGGUCCCAAAUGUACGUUAAGUGGAGAAGGAUGUGGAAUUGCACAGACAACCAGGAUGUUGGCUUAGAAGCAGCCAUACAUUCAAAGAGUGCGUAACAGCUCACUGGUCGAGUGAUUCCGCGCCGAAAAUUUAACGGGGCUAAACGUACAACCGAAGCUUGGGCUGCAUCGAAAGAUGCGGGGUAGGGGAGCGUCGUGUAACGGGGUGAAGCAUGAGCGUAAGCGCGUGUGGACUUUACACGAGUGAGAAUGCCGGAAUGAGUAGCGCGAUUUAUGUGAGAAUCAUAAAGGCCGAAAGCCUAAGGUUUCUGGAGGAAGGUUCGUCCGCUCCAGGUUAGCCGGGAGCUAAGGUGAGGCGGAAACGCGUAGCCGAUGCACAUACGGUGGAGAUUCCGUAGCUGUCGAAGGAUUUAAGCAGGGGGACACUGAAGAAGGCUUCAACCCAGGCGUUGGUAGACCUGGGCGAAAGGGACCGAAAAUAGAGUAGGGAAGUGAAGUUGGAAUCAGGCGAGAAAAGCCCUGUGAAUAUCUGAGACACCCGUACCGCAAACCGACACAGGUAGGUAGGAAGAGGAUUCUAAGGCCAACGGGAGAAGGGUUGUUAAGGAACUCGGCAAGUUGACCCCGUAACUUCGGAAAAAGGGGAGCCUCGAAAGAGGCCGCAGAGAAUAGGCCCAAGCAACUGUUUACCAAAAACACAGGUCUAUGCUAAAUCGAAAGAUGACGUAUAUGGGCUGACGCCUGCCCGGUGCUGGAAGGUUAAGAGGAGGGCUUAGCGCAAGCGAAGGUCUGAAUUGAAGCCCCAGUAAACGGCGGCCGUAACUAUAACGGUCCUAAGGUAGCGAAAUUCCUUGUCAGGUAAGUUCUGACCCGCACGAAUGGCGUAACGAUUUGGGCGCUGUCUCAACAGCCCACCCGGCGAAAUUGUUGUACUGGUGAAGAUGCCAGUUACCCGCAACUAGACGGAAAGACCCCAUGGAGCUUUACUGUAGCUUAAUACUGAAGAUCGGUAAUGCAUGUACAGGAUAGGUGGGAGACUUGGAAGCCAGGGCGUCAGCUUUGGUGGAGUCGUCCUUGGGAUACCACUCUUGUAUUGCUGGUUUUCUAACCUGCGGCCCUGAAUCGGGUCGGGGGACACUGUUAGGUGGGCAGUUUGACUGGGGCGGUCGCCUCCAAAAGAGUAACGGAGGCGCUCAAAGGUUCGUUCAGCACGGACGGAAAUCGUGCAUUGAGUGUAAACGCAUAAACGAGCCUAACUGCGAGACCGACGGGUCGAGCAGUAACGAAAGUUGGAGUUAGUGAUCCGGUGGUAUGUGAGUGGAAAUGCCAUCGCUCAACGGAUAAAAGCUACCCUGGGGAUAACAGGCUGAUCUCCCCCAAGCGU